UACGGAGGGUGCAAGCGUUGUCCGGAAUCAUUGGGCGUAAAGAGCGUGUAGGCGGCUCAGUAAGUCCGCUGUGAAAGUCCAGGGCUCAACCCUGGAAUGCCAGUGGAAACUGUUGAGCUAGAGUCCGGAAGAGGCGAGUGGAAUUCCUGGUGUAGCGGUGAAAUGCGCAGAUAUCAGGAGGAACACCAAUGGCGAAGGCAGCUCGCUGGGACGGUACUGACGCUGAGACGCGAAAGCGUGGGGAGCAAACAGG
rnacentral:rRNA from 1 species